UGAUCGCGUGAGAAAUAGAAGUGGAAAUCCUUUUUGCUCGUGCCUCACAAAAAGAUUGCAACGGAUAGCCCGACGGCAA
rnacentral:sRNA from 1 species